GGGGCUGUAGCUCAGUUGGGAGAGCGCUUGAAUCGCACUCAAGAGGUCGACGGUUCGAUUCCGUUCAGCUCCA
rnacentral:tRNA from 1 species